GAUCCUGGCUCAGGAGAACCCCGCGUGCCUAAUACAUGCAAGUCGAGCGGACCAAUUAAGAGCUUGCUCUUAUGAGGUUAGCGGCGGACGGGUGAGUAACACGUGGGCAACCUGCCCUGUAGACUGGGAUAACAUCGAGAAAUCGGUGCUAAUACCGGAUAAUAGAUGGAACUGCAUAGUUCCAUUUUAAAAGAUGGUUCUGCUAUCACUACAGGAUGGGCCCGCGGUGCAUUAGCUAGUUGGUAAGGUAUCUGCUUACCAAGGCGACGAUGCAUAGCCGACCUGAGAGGGUGAUCGGCCACACUGGGACUGAGACACGGCCCAGACACCAACAGGAGGCGGCAGUAGGGAAUCUUCCGCAAUGGACGAAAGCCUGACGGAUCAACGCCGCGUGAGUGAUGAAGGGUUUCGGCUCGUAAAGCUCUGUUGUUAGGGAAGAACAAGUGCCUGAGUAACUGCAGGCACCUUGACGGUACCUAACCAGAAAGCCACGGCUAACUACGUGCCAGCAGCCGCGGUAAUACGUAGUGGCAAGCGUUUGUCCGUUAAUUAUUGGGCGUAAAGCGCGCGCAGGCUGUCUCUUAAGUCUGAUGUGAAAGCCCCCCGGCUCAACCGGGGAGGGUCAUUGGAAACUGGGAGACUUGAGUACAGAAGAGGAGAGUGGAAUUUCUGGGUCUAGUUAACUGACGCAUGAAGGCGCGGAAAAACGUGGGGGAGGCAAAACCAGGAAUAGAUACCCCUUGGUAGGUCCCACGCUGUAAAACGAAGAGUGCUUAGGUGUUUAGGGGGGUUUGGAAUGCCCUUAAGUGCCGAAGGUUAAACAACAUUAAAGCACUCCCGCCUGGGGAGUACGACCGCAAAGGUUGAAAACUUAAAAAGGAAAUUAACGGGGGCCCGCACAAGCAAUGGAGCAUGUGGUUUAAUUCGAAGCAACGCGAAGAACCUUACCAGGUCUUGACAUCCCCAUGACCUCUCUAGAGAUAGAGGAUUUCCCUUCGGGGACAUGGGUGACAGGUGGUGCAUGGUUGUCGUCAGCUCGUGUCGUGAGAUGUUGGGUUAAGUCCCGCAACGAGCGCAACCCUUGAUCUUAGUUGCCAGCAUUUAGUUGGGCACUCUAAGGUGACUGCCGGUGACAAACCGGAGGAAGGUGGGGAUGACGUCAAAUCAUCAUGCCCCUUAUGACCUGGGCUACACACGUGCUACAAUGGAUGGUACAAAGAGCAGCGAAACCGCGAGGUCGAGCCAAUCUCAUAAAGCCAUUCUCAGUUCGGAUUGUAGGCUGCAACUCGCCUACAUGAAGCCGGAAUUGCUAGUAAUCGCGGAUCAGCAUGCCGCGGUGAAUACGUUCCCGGGCCUUGUACACACCGCCCGUCACACCACGAGAGUUUGUAACACCCGAAGUCGGUGGAGUAACCCUUACGGGAGCUAGCCGCCUAAGGUGGGACAGAUGAUUGGGGUGAAGUCGUAACAAGGUAGCCGU
rnacentral:rRNA from 1 species